rnacentral:rRNA from 1 species
AUUGAACGCUGGCGGCAGGCUUCACACAUGCAAGUCGAGCGAGCGGCGGACGGGUGAGUAAUGUCUGGGAAACUGCCUGAUGGAGGGGGAUAUCUACUGGAAACGGUAGCUAAUACCGCUUACCAUCAGCUGUGCCCAGAUGGGAUUAGCUCGCAGGUGGGGUAAUGGCGCACCUAGGCGACGAUCCCUAGCUGGUCUGAGAGGAUGACCAGCCACACUGGAACUGAGACACGGUCCAUAGUCCUACGGUAGGCAGCAGUGAGGAAUAUUGCACAAUGGGCGGAAGCCUGAUGCAGCCAUGCCGCGUGUGUGAAGAAGGCCUUCGGGUUGUAAAGCACUUUCAGCGAGGAGGCGGUACUCGAAGAAGAAGCACCGGCUAGCUCCGUGCCAGCAGGCGCGGUAAUAC